UACGAAGGGGGCUAGCGUUGCUCGGAAUGACUGGGCGUAAAGGGCGCGUAGGCGGAUGGCACAGUCAGAUGUGAAAUUCCCGGGCUUAACCUGGGGGCUGCAUUUGAUACGUGUUGUCUUGAGUUCGGGAGAGGAGAGUGGAAUUCCCAGUGUAGAGGUGAAAUUCGUAGAUAUUGGGAAGAACACCGGUGGCGAAGGCGGCUCUCUGGACCGAGACUGACGCUGAGGCGCGAAAGCGUGGGGAGCAAACAGG
rnacentral:rRNA from 1 species